AAAUAGAGGAACUAGAAAUGCUCACGAGAGAUAUGUGUUAUAAGAUGCACAACUCGAGACUAAAACUGAUAAGUAUAAGUGCGUAAUGGCUGGUUGACAAUUAUCACUCAAUCUUAAAAACUUUUUAUUUAAAGUCUAUUUUAGAUUUUAAGCAAGUGUAUAUAUUCUUGGAGUGUGUAUAUAGUUAGACUUUUAACCAUAUUACCCUCAAAAGAGGGGUGUUCCUACCAGAGGAAGCUUAUACGAAGAAAAGAAGAAGUAAAACUCUUCACAAUAAAAGGUAGAUUCAAUGUUAAUAACAGAAGGAGGGAAAUCAACAAAUAUGCAGAAGGAUAGAAAAUAAUGGUAUUUUUUAUGAAUAUGGUGUAGCCAAAAACUUAUUUUCAUUGAAAGAGUGUAACAAAGACAUAGUAAACCAUGUGGCCAAGACAUUCCCACUGCCAUUGGGAUAAGUCUGAUCCUGAUCAGAUAGUCUAGACAUUACUCAUGAGGCUAGACUAUCGAUAUCAUGUCUAGGUUUCAGACUCACAUAACAUAAUUUUAAAUGCAUACGCUGCAAACAUGGACAGGAGUUGGGUUGCAGUGGACAAGAAGACAAAAUGAGUUGCUGUCAUCUUUUCAUGAUCGCGACCCUUGCAAAUCUAGCAACGAAAAUUCGAAGGCAAAACUUUCAGUUUCAUUUGGUUCUGGUUAAUGUUGAAGAUAUGAUAGGAGAUCAUAUAGAUAUUCGGUGAUCCAAAAAUAACUGGAGUUCAUGAAACAAGACUGAUUGCUGGGACACAUUUUUGUUGAUAAACAUGUUUAUGAUGAAGAAAAACUUAUAUAGUAUUACGGAUACUUGAAUAAGGCUCUGACCUGUCUUUGAUUUUUCCUGUUGGUGUUAAAAAAUUGCAAGCUCAAAUAAAAAUAAAUUGAAAUGUAACUCAUGGAUAUGCUUUGAAAAAAAGAAAUAAACAGCAAUGUGAAUCUCGCCGAAGUCUUACCAACAACCAAGUCAACACACAGUUGCAACACAAAUGAGAAGUGAGAGACAUUUGCAAGGACUUAGAGUGUUCUCACUGUCUCACCAUCAGAAUGGCUUUCUCAUCAGCAAAGAAGAAGUAUAAAAAUUCCUUCUGUAUUAAAAGGUCAUUAAUAUUGAAGACAAUCAAGAAAAUUACGGUUGUACUUGGCCAUUUGAUAAACAUUAUAAUAUAUUCAUUUGUCAGAAAUUGUUACUUAGAUUGACUAACUAGUUUUAUUGAUUGAGUUAUUAGUAAAUUACCUUUUGUAGUUCAUGUAGUUACAUAUAUAUGUAAAUUUUUAUCAGAUAGUAUGGAAAUAAUUUAAUACGUCCCUAAAUUCCAUACCUAAUGCAACAAUUGUCUUGUGCUGCUAAGUCAAUUUGAAUUAACUUUUAUGUAUGUUUAUAGUAAUCUUAUUCUUGCAUUUAAGCAUCAUUUUGUGUUAUUGUAUCAUCUGCAUUGAUUGUUAAAUAUAAUACUAAUACUAUAAAUAAAAUAACAUUUAUGAUCAUUUAAACAGAUUGAAAUAUUUAUAAAUAUAUCAAUGCUAAAAGGAAUUUAGACAUUUUUCGAGGAGAAUUUAAGAAAUUACUACAACAAAAGCAAACGAAUAGUAUAUGCUCAACUGCAAUAUUAACUUUCUCACCAGAUAACCUGUCUAUUCUUCUUACCAGCACACUUGGUACAAUUAAAAACCUUAUAAUAAAUUGUUCAAAUAAGGCCUUCGAAAAUAGUGGAAUAAAUUACUUUUGGAGUGUCAAGAACUCGUUGGAAGUACUUGAUAAAUUGCAUGCUCAUAUUGGUGAUUUUGAAUCUGUUCAAAGUUUUGAUUUUUCUACCCUGUAUACCACAUUGCCUCACAUUCUCAUUAAGAAAAAAUUCACACACCUAAUUAAAUGGGCAUUCAAAAAAUCAGAAUGUGAAUAUAUAUGUUCAAACUCUUUUAGGUCAUUUUUUAGUAGCAAUAAACAAAAAAACUAUGUUAAUUGGACAUGCUUUGAUACUAUAUAUUCCCUUGAAUUUUUACUAGAUAACAUUUUUGUUCGCUUUGGGGAUUCCGUAUAUCGUCAGAUUAUCGGAAUUCCAAUUUGGACUAACUGUGCACCACUUAUUGCGGACCUCUUUUUGUAUUGUUAUGAGUUACAAUUUAUGACAAAAAUAAGCAAAGACCCAUCAAAACAACAUCUGAUAAACAAAUUUAAUAAUACUUUUAGAUAUUUGGAUGAUAUUUUGGCUCUCAAUAAUGACGACUUCAGUAUGUAUAUUAAUGAAAUUUAUCCUGCUGAACUUACUUUAAAUAAAGCUAAUACUAAUAAUGACCACUGCCCUUUCCUCGAUCUUGAUAUCUAUAUCACUAACGGAAAGCUGAAUACUAAAAUUUAUGAUAAAAGGGAUGAUUUUUCAUUUCCUAUCGUUAAUUAUCCGUUUUUAGAUGGUGACGUUCCCUUGUCACCAUCUUACGGUGUUUAUUUAUCUCAACUUGUACGAUUCGCUCGUGUUUGUAACAAUGUUUUAGAUUUUAACGAGAGAAAUUUAUGUAUUACUGAAAAAUUAUUACACCAGGGUUUUCGAUAUCACAAACUAGUCAAAACUUUUACUAAAUUUUAUCAUCGGUAUAAAGACAUCAUUUGUAAAUAUAGCUCAACAUGCAGACUUUUUAUACGUUCAGGUAUUUCACAUCCAAUUUUUUAUGGAAAUAUUCUUUAUAAAGCACAAAGGUGUCAGUAUUCACCUCAGAAACUUACAAAACCUUUAAAUAGACUGAUUAAGAAGGGAUAUAAUUACGAUACUGUUGUCAAGUCAUUAAAGAUUGCAUAUUUUGGCGUUAAUAUUGAGUCACUGAUAAGGUCUUUGCGUCGGAACUAAAGACAUUUAUUCUAAAAACAGUUGUUGGCAUGACACGGGUUAUGUUCUUCUCAUAUAUGUUAUGAUGGUAUGAUACUAAACCCCUAACGGGAAGGAUUGUGCCUGAUGUUCAUAUGAUGAAAUCAUAAUCUUUCAGUCAGUUUAAUUGAAGUCUGGAGCUGGCAUGUCAGUUAACUGCUAGUAGUCUGUUGUUAUUUAUAUAUUCUAAUAUGACGUCCUUCAAACGCUUUGAGUACACACCCGUGGUAAAAUUUGAAUAUAUUGCAUGGGCUGUUCCGAUUGUACUCCCACGUCAUAUGUUUUUUUAUGAAUAAGUUUCGCGACGUCAUAAUACGAUGACGUUAGAAUAUGAGCAUUUUACGGGAAAAUACACGCUUGAAAAACCGAAAAUCAUCACAACAUGGCAACGUAAACAAACAAUGCUAAAAUGUGUUAUAAGCCAUAUUUGUUUAAACAUUUAAGACAUAUAAGUAAAUAAUCAUUUAAAAUAAUUCAAAACUAUCUAUAUGCGUUAUUUUAAAUAGUUUAAGCAUGUCACUAAUUCAGUUUGCUCCGUUCUUUGACGCCAAUUUGAUAGUGUGUUUAUUUAUGGGAAUGGCAAAUAUUUGCCUCCACCUAGAGCGCUUCGAUCCAAAAGAAUUGCCGUAUUUGACCUAUUAGAAUCGAAAUAAUUCAUGGGGGCUUGAAUAUAUCUAGAUUUUACCACGGGUUGUCCCUUUAUGCCGAUAUUUUACCCCUCGCUAUCGCUCAGGAUAAAAUAUUUGUCUUAAAGGGCCAACCCGUGGUAAAAUCACGAUAUAUUCAAGCCCCCAUGAAUUAUUUCUUAAUUAUUGUCAUUUUGUUUAUUUUCUUUAGUUACAUCUUCUGACAUCAGACCCGGACUUCUCUUGAACUGAAUUUUAAUGUGCGUAUUGUUAUGCGUUUAUUUUUCUACAUUGGUUAGAGGUAUAGGGGGAGGGUUGAGAUCUCACAAACAUGUUUAACCCCGCCGCAUUUUUGCGCCUGUCCCAAGUCAGGAGCCUCUGGCCUUUGUUAGUCUUGUAUUAUUUUUAUAUUAGUUUCUUGUGUACAAUUUGGAAAUUAGUAUGGCGUUCAUUAUCACUGAACUAGUAUAUAUUUGUUUAGGGGCCAGCUGAAGGACGCCUCCGGGUGCGGGAAUUUCUCGCUACAUUGAAGACCUAUUGGUGACCUUCUGCUGUUGUUUUUUAUUUGGUCGGGUUGUUGUCUCUUUGACACAUUCCCCAUUUCCAUUCUCAAUUUUAAUAGAGAUAUAUUUGUAUUUUAUUAAAUUGAUGAAGCGUACAAAAUGUAUGUUAGUUUAAAUAAAUAUGUACAUGCAAUUUUAAGGUUUUAAAAAAACGACAUUUUUAUUGGAUUAUCUCCCUUUGUACAAUAGAAAUUCAGAUUUAAUCAUCACUGUCUCAUGUACCUAUGAUCAAAACGACUUAUAUUGUUACCAGCAUGCAAGUAAAAGGUUGCAACUGUCUUAUCUUUGUUUACCUGUAGAACACAUAUUCUGAAUGUCAAUACUUAAGAUUUUUCAAUAUGAUGAACUUGACAUUAAAUUUCAUAUCAUUUUUGAGUAACCAGAAUAAAUCUUUAGUAAUUAGCAAGCUGCAAUAACCAAAAUAGGAUUACUAGGAAGAAAUGAAAGGAUUUUACUCUUUAAAGUAAUAAGGACAAGUGUACUGAAGGAAUUUGGAAUAAAAAAAAAUA